rnacentral:lncRNA from 1 species
GGAGUAUACCGUAGGCCUUAAGGAACCAAGAAGAAUCACAACACCACAAAGCCAAAGAAUAUCAUUCCAUUGCAAACACGUAAAGAAGACCAUAAACGGGACAAAACCCUCAAGACCCAUAAAUCCCAAAGACAAACAAAUACUCAUAGAGCUUAUUUUGAAAAUAAAAACCCCCACCCACUGCUUGCUAGAUACUAGUAAGACUUGAUCCAUAAAAAUUAACUCUGCAGGUUUCCAGAGUUCGGGUUUGACGGUCCCUCUCCAUCCAGGAAGAUACUCAGUUUAAAUGCAAUCGAUUUCAUCUUAAAGAUGAUUGAAAUCGAAUUUUGUUCCCCAACAAACC